rnacentral:rRNA from 1 species
CCAGACUCCUACGGGAGGCAGCAGUAGGGAAUCAUCCGCAAUGGGCGAAAGCCUGACGGUGCAACGCCGCGUGAGUGAUGAAGGUUUUCGGAUCGUAAAGCUCUGUUGACAGGGAAGAACCCACGCCAGUCGAACAGGCUGGCGUGCUGACGGUACCUGUCCAGAAAGCCCCGGCUAACUACGUGCCAGCAGCCGCGGUAAUACGUAGGGGGCAAGCGUUGUCCGGAAUUAUUGGGCGUAAAGGGCACGCAGGCGGUUUCGUCAGUCCGAUGUGACAGGCCACGGCUCAACCGUGGAAGGCCAUUGGAAACUGCGAAACUUGAGGACAGAAGAGGAGAGUGGAAUUCCACGUGUAGCGGUGAAAUGCGUAGAUAUGUGGAGGAACACCAGUGGCGAAGGCGACUCUCUGGUCUGUACCUGACGCUGAGGUGCGAAAGCAUGGGGAGCAAACAGGAUUAGAUACCCUGGUAGUCCAUGCCGUAAACGCUGAGUGCUAGGUGUUAGGGGUUUCGAUACCCGUAGUGCCGAAGCUAACGCAUUAAGCACUCCGCCUGGGGAGUACGACCGCAAGGUUGAAACUCAAAGGAAUUGACGGGGGCCCGCACAAGCGGUGGAGCAUGUGGUUUAAUUCGACGCAACGCGAAGAACCUUACCAGAUCUUGACAUCUUCCGCUACGCCUCGAGAGAGGCGGUUCCCCUUCGGGGGACGGAAUGACAGGUGGUGCAUGGUUGUCGUCAGCUCGUGUCGUGAGAUGUUGGGUUAAGUCCCGCAACGAGCGCAACCCC